rnacentral:rRNA from 1 species
UUGUUGGUAAGGUAAAAGCUUACCAAGACUUCGAUCAGUAGCUGGUCUGAGAGGACGACCAGCCACACUGGGACUGAGACACGGCCCAGACUCCUACGGGAGGCAGCAGUGGGGAAUUUUGGACAAUGGGGGCAACCCUGAUCCAGCCAUGCCGCGUGAGUGAAGAAGGCCUUCGGGUUGUAAAGCUCUUUCAGCCGGAACGAAACGGUUACGGUUAACACCCGUGACUACUGACGGUACCGGAAGAAGAAGCACCGGCUAACUACGUGCCAGCAGCCGCGGUAAUACGUAGGGUGCGAGCGUUAAUCGGAAUUACUGGGCGUAAAGCGUGCGCAGGUGGUUUUGUAAGUCAGAUGUGAAAGCCCCGGGCUCAACCUGGGAACUGCGUUUGAAACUACAAGACUAGAGUGUGGCAGAGGGGGGUGGAAUUCCGCGUGUAGCAGUGAAAUGCGUAGAGAUGUGGAGGAACACCGAUGGCGAAGGCAGCCCCCUGGGUCAACACUGACGCUCAGGCACGAAAGCAUGGGGAGCAAACAGGAUUAGAUACCCUGGUAGUCCAUGCCCUAAACGAUGUCAACUAGUUGUCGGGCCUUUACGGGCUUGGUAACGUAGCUAACGCGUGAAGUUGACCGCCUGGGGAGUACGAUCGCAAGAUUAAAACUCAAAUGAAUUGACGGGGACCCGCACAAGCGGUGGAUUAUGUGGAUUAAUUCGAUGCAACGCGAAAAACAUUACCUACCCUUGACAUGUAUCGAAGCCCGCAGAAAAGCGGGGGUGCCCGAAAGGGAACGAUAACACAGGUGCUGCAUGGCUGUCGUCGGCUCGUGUCGUGAGAUGUUGGGUUAAGUCCCGCAACGAGCGCAACCCUUGUCAUUAAUUGCCAUCAUUUAGUUGGGCACUUUAAUGAGACUGCCGG